rnacentral:sRNA from 1 species
GCCAGGUGCAGUGGCGCACACCUGUAAUCCCAGAAGCUUGGGAGGCUGAGACAGUAGGAUCACGAGUUCAAAGCCAGCCUCAGCAAUGGCGAGGCACUAAGCAACUCAGUGAGACUCUGUCUCUA